rnacentral:misc_RNA from 1 species
AUAAGCUCAAUGCAAAAACCAUAAGCUGAGGCUGAACAUCUCGUAUAAAGCACGCGAGGGUAGGGCCGGUUCGCCAAUAAAAUAGGAAAAGGCCAGCUCCAGUUCUACCACAGCAAUUGCCAGCGAGGGACUUGGCAGAGAACGCCAAUUUCUUUUCCUUCAUUUCUCUCGCUCCCUUGCAAAUUCCCUCAAUGGCUCUCUCCGAUUCUUCUCGCCAAUCCCUUAUCCCUAGCUUCAUCUACUCCUCUGCC